GGCUGGGUAAGCUGGCAGCCUGGGGUUCUCAUACCAACCAACAGCAGAGACCAAAAUAAUUGCCUUAAGAACUUCCCAAGUUAGCCCCUGCUCACCCAAAUGGCUGCCACAGGAUUCAAAAAGGCGACAGGCUCCGGGCAAUGAGCUCAAGUUGGCAAGAGAUGAGCCUUUAGCAGAUGCUGGAAGUCAGGUACUUACUGUUUUCAGUGGCCCACCCAGCAUUAUCACUGGAACACUAGUUUUGGAACUCUCUAAGUCAUAAGUCAUGGUUGUGCCUCUGUUUCUGCUACUCUCAUCAUUGCAGAAUCUCAGAUGCUGGAGCCACCAACGGAAGCAAAGCAAAGAAAAACUGUACCCUUCACGGUGCCUGUCAGCGUUGGGCAAAAGGCUGAGAAGGAAGGGCUGGCUGUACGUCUUGGGAUGGGGGUCCAAACCCCUUUCAGCCACUGUCUGCAGUGUCCGCAGCCUCCACCCCUGGUCUGCUUCCUCCGAACCACUCCGGGGUGGUUUGGCAAGAAUAUCGUCUGAGAAUACUGACCUGGUGUAUUUGUUCUGUUAUAACUAAAUACCUG
rnacentral:lncRNA from 1 species